rnacentral:rRNA from 1 species
UAGGGAAUCUUCGGCAAUGGGGGGAACCCUGACCGAGCAACGCCGCGUGAGUGAAGAAGGUUUUCGGAUCGUAAAGCUCUGUUGUUAUGGAAGAACGAGUGUGAGAAUGGAAAGUUCAUACUGUGACGGUACUUAACCAGAAAGGGACGGCUAACUACGUGCCAGCAGCCGCGGUAAUACGUAGGUCCCGAGCGUUGUCCGGAUUUAUUGGGCGUAAAGCGAGCGCAGGCGGUUAGAUAAGUCUGAAGUUAAAGGCAGUGGCUCAACCAUUGUAGGCUUGGGAAACUGUUUAACUUGAGUGCAGAAGGGGAGAGUGGAAUUCCAGGUGUAGCGGGGAAGUGCGUGGAUAUAUGGAGGAACACCGGUGGCGAAAGCGGCUCUCUGGUCUGUAACUGACGCUGAAGCUCGAAAGCGUGGGGAGCGAACAGG